UGUGCUUAUUUAGUAGUUAUUGAAAUUGCCAUGACAUGCCAGUUCUUGAGUUCUUUCCUUUUAUAGAUGUUACAAAUGGCCGAGUAUCAUGAACGUAGCCUUGUUCCUGCUAAAUCUAUUAAACAACAUUCUAUUAAAGUGCGGAAGCAGAAGUUGCUUAAUUUCCUACAAGGCACUAUGUACCUGUUUGUGCAAAGUGGACAACACAGAGGUGUGCAGUUUGUUGGUGGGUCGAAGAUUGGGACUUCAACAAAAUUAUCAUUUCUAUUAGCCGUUCAUCAAGAAUGCUAUGGAGCAAGAAAUGUUAGUGACCUUAAUUCAUAGGUGUGUAGAGCCUGUGAAGCACAUUAUAUUGAGAGGGUAUGUUACCUCUGUCU